rnacentral:rRNA from 1 species
CCUACGGGUGGCAGCAGUGAGGAAUAUUGGUCAAUGGACGCAAGCCUGAACCAGCCAUGCCGCGUGCAGGAUGACGGCUCUAUGAGUUGUAAACUGCUUUUGUACGAGGGUAAACCCCGAUACGUGUAUCGGGUUGAAAGUAUCGUACGAAUAAGGAUCGGCUAACUCCGUGCCAGCAGCCGCGGUAAUACGGAGGAUCCGAGCGUUAUCCGGAUUUAUUGGGUUUAAAGGGUGCGUAGGUGGUUUGAUAAGUUAGAGGUGAAAUGUCGGGGCUCAACCCCGAAACUGCCUCUAAUACUGUUAGACUAGAGAAUAGUUGCGGGAGGCGGAAUGUAUGGUGUAGCGGUGAAAUGCUUAGAGAUCAUACAGAACACCGAUUGCGAAGGCAGCUUACCAAACUAUAUCUGACGUUGAGGCACGAAAGCGUGGGUAGCAAACAGGAUUAGAUACCCUAGUAGUC